UACGAAGGGGGCUAGCGUUGCUCGGAAUCACUGGGCGUAAAGGGUGCGUAGGCGGGUCUUUAAGUCAGGGGUGAAAUCCUGGAGCUCAACUCCAGAACUGCCUUUGAUACUGAAGAUCUUGAGUCCGGGAGAGGUGAGUGGAACUGCGAGUGUAGAGGUGAAAUUCGUAGAUAUUCGGCGGAACACCAGUGGCGAAGGCGACUCACUGGCCCGAUACUGACGCUGAGGCGCGAAAGCGUGGGGAGCAAACAGG
rnacentral:rRNA from 1 species